rnacentral:rRNA from 1 species
UACGUAGGUGGCGAGCGUUAUCCGGAAUUAUUGGGCGUAAAGAGCGCGCAGGUGGUUGAUUAAGUCUGAUGUGAAAGCCCACGGCUUAACCGUGGAGGGUCAUUGGAAACUGGUCGACUUGAGUGCAGAAGAGGGAAGUGGAAUUCCAUGUGUAGCGGUGAAAUGCGUAGAGAUAUGGAGGAACACCAGUGGCGAAGGCGGCUUCCUGGUCUGUAACUGACACUGAGGCGCGAAAGCGUGGGGAGCAAACAGGAUUAGAUACCCCGUA